UACAGAGGGUGCGAGCGUUAAUCGGAAUUACUGGGCGUAAAGCGUGCGUAGACGGUUAUGUAAGUCGGAUGUGAAAGCCCGGGGCUCAACCCCGGAGGUGCAUCCGAAACUCUGGGGCUGGAGGUCGGAAGAGGAGGGUGGAAUACCCAGUGUAGAGGUGAAAUUCGUAGAUAUUGGGUGGAACACCGGUGGCGAAAGCGGCUCUCUGGUCCGGACCUGACGCUGAGGCGCGAAAGCGUGGGGAGCAAACAGG
rnacentral:rRNA from 1 species